GACGAACGCUGGCGGCGUGCCUAAUACAUGCAAGUAGAACGCUGAGGUUUGGUGUUUACACUAGACUGAUGAGUUGCGAACGGGUGAGUAACGCGUAGGUAACCUGCCUCAUAGCGGGGGAUAACUAUUGGAAACGAUAGCUAAUACCGCAUAAGAGUAAUUAACACAUGUUAGUUAUUUAAAAGGAGCAAUUGCUUCACUGUGAGAUGGACCUGCGUUGUAUUAGCUAGUUGGUGAGGUAAAGGCUCACCAAGGCGACGAUACAUAGCCGACCUGAGAGGGUGAUCGGCCACACUGGGACUGAGACACGGCCCAGACUCCUACGGGAGGCAGCAGUAGGGAAUCUUCGGCAAUGGACGGAAGUCUGACCGAGCAACGCCGCGUGAGUGAAGAAGGUUUUCGGAUCGUAAAGCUCUGUUGUUAGAGAAGAACGUUGGUAGGAGUGGAAAAUCUACCAAGUGACGGUAACUAACCAGAAAGGGACGGCUAACCACGUGCCAGCAGCCGCGGUAAUACGUAGGUCCCGAGCGUUGUCCGGAUUUAUUGGGCGUAAAGCGAGCGCAGGCGGUUCUUUAAGUCUGAAGUUAAAGGCAGUGGCUUAACCAUUGUACGCUUUGGAAACUGGAGGACUUGAGUGCAGAAGGGGAGAGUGGAAUUCCAUGUGUAGCGGUGAAAUGCGUAGAUAUAUGGAGGAACACCGGUGGCGAAAGCGGCUCUCUGGUCUGUAACUGACGCUGAGCUCGAAAGCGUGGGGAGCAAACAGG
rnacentral:rRNA from 1 species